rnacentral:rRNA from 1 species
AUGCCGUGGGUUGUGGUGGGAGACUUCAAUGAGGCUAUGUGGAGCUUCGAGCACUUCUCUGACACGCCUCGUUUGGCAGGUCAGAUGAUUGACUUUCGUGAUAUUCUAGAAGUUUGUGGCUUGGGUGAUCUUGGUUUUGCAGGCCUACCUUAUACUAAUAGUCGGGCUAAUGUUAAAGUCAGGCUAGACCGCGCCGUCGCCAACAACUCUUGGAGAGUGGCGGAGCUCUUGGACGAGUCCAGCGCAUGGCGUCUGGACCUUCUUCGACGCCAUUUCCUCCCGGUGGAUGUUGACACCAUCACCAGCAUUCACACAUCGUGUCGUAUCACUGAUGACAUCAUCGCCUGGGUGCCGGAGAAGAACGGUAUCUUCACCGUCCGAUCCGCCUAUCGCUUAGCCAUGGACGAGCGCGAGCAUCCAUCGGCAACCACCACGAGCAGGGCACCAGAUGGUCGUCGCGUCAUCUGGAAGAUCAUAUGGGGGUGCCCUGCUCCCCCGAAGCAAGAGCAGCAGCGACAUGCAACAAGCCAAGGAUCAGCGACUGGACAUGCCCUGGUCGCCGCCCGCCCAUGGCUGGACCAAAUUAAAUACAAAUGGGAGCUACAUCAACUAAACAAGGGCGGCUGGUGGUGGAAUGAGGCAGAGCUCAUGGCGUGCAGAGAAGACCUUGAUCUUGCUCUUCAUCGGACCGGAUUACCCAUUGCGGUCGAGUUGGACUGCGCUCAGGCAGUCUUGAUGCUAAAUACGAGUCAUAGGGACCGCUCUCCACCAAAUGGCGAAGCACAACAAAAGAUGAGGGAAAUUCGUGCAUACGAACGCUCUAAAGAAAAGCCCAGCCCAUUAUCAGAUGCGAGAGACACUGAUAGGUGGGGCCACUUGGUCAGCAACAAGGACCCUCAGUUACUCUGCGCCGCGGGGUUCACCGGCCUCGGUCUCUCGCGCUCUGACAUCGCGUGCCUCGUCUCGGUCGCCGGCGAGUCGUUCCGCUGCAGAUCUGUCGCCUCGAAACUACCGUACCUGCUGUCCCUCUUCGGCUCCUACACAACCUCCUCCGGCUCUGGGUACUCAAAAAAAGCCCCAAUCUCCUCGGAAGCGACCUCGACAGGGUUGUCAAGCCCAACGUCGCCUUCCUCCGGGAGUGUGGGCUUGAUAAUCGCGAUAUCGUCAGGCUCUGCAUCUCUUCGCGAUGGCUACUCGCCACCAACCUGGAACGCCUCCGGGCAAUGGAAUAAGGAAUCGCUGCAGCGCAGGUACGAGUUCCUCAUCUCUGAGGUGGGGCUGGAACCGGCAUCCAUUGCUCAAAGGCCGACAGUUCUCACUUACAGCCUAGUGGGCCGGCUGAGACCCCGACACUACGUUAUAAAGUUUCUCAAGGCAAAUGGAUUACUCAAGCGGGACCUGAAGUACAAUACAAUUUUCAGUCUGGUUGAGAAGGUGUUUGUGGAGAAAUUCAUAUGCCCUUACAAGGAAGUUGCACAACACCUCGCUGAAGAAUAUGCAGCCGCUUGCAUAGGGAAGUGCCGACUAGACUCAGAUUUGCAGGAACCAAGAAUACGUAACAAAAAGGAGAUGGGUCCAUGCUAUACUGGCGAGGAGCUCUGA